GGUUAAGUUAGAAAGGGCGCACGGUGGAUGCCUUGACACUAGGAGUCGAUGAAGGACGGGACUAACGCCGAUAUGCUUCGGGGAGCUGUAAGUAAGCUUUGAUCCGAAGAUUUCCGAAUGGGGAAACCCACCAUACGUAAUGGUAUGGUAUCCUUAUCUGAAUACAUAGGGUAAGGAAGACAGACCCAGGGAACUGAAACAUCUAAGUACCUGGAGGAAGAGAAAGCAAAUGCGAUUUCCUGAGUAGCGGCGAGCGAAACGGAACAUAGCCCAAACCAAGAGGCUUGCCUCUUGGGGUUGUAGGACAUUCUAUACGGAGUUACAAAGGAACGAGGUAGACGAAGCGACCUGGAAAGGUCCGUCGUAGAGGGUAACAACCCCGUAGUCGAAACUUCGUUCUCUCUUGAAUGUAUCCUGAGUACGGCGGAACACGUGAAAUUCCGUCGGAAUCUGGGAGGACCAUCUCCCAAGGCUAAAUACUCCCUAGUGAUCGAUAGUGAACCAGUACCGUGAGGGAAAGGUGAAAAGCACCCCGGAAGGGGAGUGAAAGAGAUCCUGAAACCGUGUGCCUACAAAUAGUCAGAGCCCGUUAACGGGUGAUGGCGUGCCUUUUGUAGAAUGAACCGGCGAGUUACGAUCCCGUGCGAGGUUAAGCUGAAGAGGCGGAGCCGCAGCGAAAGCGAGUCUGAAUAGGGCGUUUAGUACGUGGUCGUAGACCCGAAACCAGGUGAUCUACCCAUGUCCAGGGUGAAGUUCAGGUAACACUGAAUGGAGGCCCGAACCCACGCACGUUGAAAAGUGCGGGGAUGAGGUGUGGGUAGCGGAGAAAUUCCAAUCGAACCUGGAGAUAGCUGGUUCUCCCCGAAAUAGCUUUAGGGCUAGCCUUAAGUGUAAGAGUCUUGGAGGUAGAGCACUGAUUGGACUAGGGGUCCUCAUCGGAUUACCGAAUUCAGUCAAACUCCGAAUGCCAAUGACUUAUCCUUAGGAGUCAGACUGCGAGUGAUAAGAUCCGUAGUCAAAAGGGAAACAGCCCAGACCGCCAGCUAAGGUCCCAAAGUGUGUAUUAAGUGGAAAAGGAUGUGGAGUUGCUUAGACAACUAGGAUGUUGGCUUAGAAGCAGCCACCAUUUAAAGAGUGCGUAAUAGCUCACUAGUCGAGUGACUCUGCGCCGAAAAUGUACCGGGGCUAAAUACACCACCGAAGCUGCGGAUUGAUACCGAAUGGUAUCAGUGGUAGGGGAGCGUUCUAAGGACAGUGAAGUCAGACCGGAAGGACUGGUGGAGUGCUUAGAAGUGAGAAUGCCGGUAUGAGUAGCGAAAGACGGGUGAGAAUCCCGUCCACCGAAUGCCUAAGGUUUCCUGAGGAAGGCUCGUCCGCUCAGGGUUAGUCAGGACCUAAGCCGAGGCCGACAGGCGUAGGCGAUGGACAACAGGUUGAUAUUCCUGUACCACCUCUUUAUCGUUUGAGCAAUGGAGGGACGCAGAAGGAUAGAAGAAGCGUGCGAUUGGUUGUGCACGUCCAAGCAGUUAGGCUGAUAAGUAGGCAAAUCCGCUUAUCGUAAAGGCUGAGCUGUGAUGGGGAAGCUCCUUAUGGAGCGAAGUCUUUGAUUCCCCGCUGCCAAGAAAAGCUUCUAGCGAGAUAAAAGGUGCCUGUACCGCAAACCGACACAGGUAGGCGAGGAGAGAAUCCUAAGGUGUGCGAGAGAACUCUGGUUAAGGAACUCGGCAAAAUGACCCCGUAACUUCGGGAGAAGGGGUGCUUUCUUAACGGAAAGCCGCAGUGAAUAGGCCCAAGCGACUGUUUAGCAAAACACAGCUCUCUGCGAAGCCGUAAGGCGAAGUAUAGGGGGUGACACCUGCCCGGUGCUGGAAGGUUAAGGAGAGGGGUUAGCGUAAGCGAAGCUCUGAACUGAAGCCCCAGUAAACGGCGGCCGUAACUAUAACGGUCCUAAGGUAGCGAAAUUCCUUGUCGGGUAAGUUCCGACCCGCACGAAAGGUGUAACGAUUUGGGCACUGUCUCAACCAGAGACUCGGUGAAAUUAUAGUACCUGUGAAGAUGCAGGUUACCCGCGACAGGACGGAAAGACCCCGUGGAGCUUUACUGUAGCCUGAUAUUGAAUUUUGGUACAGUUUGUACAGGAUAGGCGGGAGCCUUUGAAACCGGAGCGCUAGCUUCGGUGGAGGCGCUGGUGGGAUACCGCCCUGACUGUAUUGAAAUUCUAACCUACGGGUCUUAUCGACCCGGGAGACAGUGUCAGGUGGGCAGUUUGACUGGGGCGGUCGCCUCCUAAAGUGUAACGGAGGCGCCCAAAGGUUCCCUCAGAAUGGUUGGAAAUCAUUCGUAGAGUGCAAAGGCAUAAGGGAGCUUGACUGCGAGACCUACAAGUCGAGCAGGGACGAAAGUCGGGCUUAGUGAUCCGGUGGUUCCGCAUGGAAGGGCCAUCGCUCAACGGAUAAAAGCUACCCCGGGGAUAACAGGCUUAUCUCCCCCAAGAGUCCACAUCGACGGGGAGGUUUGGCACCUCGAUGUCGGCUCAUCGCAUCCUGGGGCUGUAGUCGGUCCCAAGGGUUGGGCUGUUCGCCCAUUAAAGCGGUACGCGAGCUGGGUUCAGAACGUCGUGAGACAGUUCGGUCCCUAUCCGUCGUGGGCGUAGGAAAUUUGAGAGGAGCUGUCCUUAGUACGAGAGGACCGGGAUGGACGCACCGCUGGUGUACCAGUUGUUCUGCCAAGGGCAUAGCUGGGUAGCUAUGUGCGGAAGGGAUAAGUGCUGAAAGCAUCUAAGCAUGAAGCCCCCCUCAAGAUGAGAUUUCCCAUAGCGUAAGCUAGUAAGAUCCCUGAAAGAUGAUCAGGUUGAUAGGUUCGAGGUGGAAGCAUGGUGACAUGUGGAGCUGACGAAUACUAAUAGAUCGAGGACUUAACCAU
rnacentral:rRNA from 2 species